CACAAAAUCAUCUAGUAUCAUGCAGAAAAAAUGUCUAAAGAACCAAAACAGAUUCAAUGCAGUGACGGCAGAAAGUGUAUGGGCAUGAAGAUUCAAAGAAAAAGAUGCGGCCGUUGAAAGAUUUAUAUGCUCCUUUGCUCCAGGUACCUGAACCACUAAGGCCAGUUUCACCAAAUUCAUUUAGUCCAGAAGCACCAACACCAAGUUCAUCUGCACUCUUACCUCCUCCACCACUUCCAGAAUCAGAAGACCAAGUGUUUCCUCCUAAUGGAAAUCAAAAUAUUGAAGAUUUGUGGCAACCCUGUGACUACCAACUCUAUUGAAACCAUUUCUCCAAUAGCAUGAGCUCACUUCAGGCAAAAGAGUCAACAGAAAAAUGGGCAAAAUAAUGGGCAGGCAUUUCAAAGAAGAGAAGAGGAGACAGGCAUAUGGGAGCAUGUGAGGUUUUGGCAAUGUCCUUUUUUUGUGCCUGGGAUGGUGAAAAUUAUAGGAGGUUUGCCUUAUAACUAUUUUUAAUUCUGUCUCUGUGUGUUUAUGUGUUUAAGUAUAUAUAUUUGAAGAUUAUAUAUAUAUGCAUAUAUGCAAAUGAUGUUCUGUACAAAAUAUUAACAAAACUUUAAGAAUACCUGG
rnacentral:lncRNA from 1 species